rnacentral:tRNA from 1 species
GCGAAAGUGGCGGAAUUGGUAGACGCGCCAGACUUAGGAUCUGGUACCUUCGGUUUUGUGGGUUAAAGUCCCGCCUUUCGCA